AAGUGGUGAUAAUUUGGUUUAUAUACAGAUGCAUGGAUAUGAACUUUCAGAGUAUUCUUUUAUUGAAAUAAAUUUUAACUUGAAAGUAUUUAGUGUAAUGCUUUUUAGUUUCUUGAUAUUUCUAACAGUUUUGAUAUUUUUCCUUUUUGUUAAUGAUGACAUUGGGCCUUGGUGAACUUUGAUCCCUAUCCAGGUCCUACAGGUUUUCAAGGUCUACCAGGUCCAGAAGGUCCUCCGGGUCUCCCUGGAAAUGGAGGUAUUAAAGGAGAGAAGGGAAAUCCAGGCCAACCUGGGCUACCUGGCUUGCCUGGUUUGAAAGGAGAUCAAGGACCACCAGGACUCCAGGGUAAUCCUGGCCGGCCGGGUCUCAAUGGAAUGAAAGGAGAUCCUGGUCUCCCUGGUGUUCCAGGAUUCCCAGGCAUGAAAGGACCCAGUGGAGUACCUGGAUCAGCUGGCCCUGAGGGGGAACCGGGACUUAUUGGUCCUCCAGGUCCUCCUGGAUUACCUGGUCCUUCAGGACAGAGUAUCAUAAUUAAAGGAGAUGCUGGUCCUCCAGGAAUCCCUGGCCAGCCUGGGCUAAAAGGUCUACCAGGACCCCAAGGACCUCAAGGCUUACCAGGUCCAACUGGCCCUCCAGGAGAUCCUGGACGCAAUGGACUCCCUGGCUUUGAUGGUGCAGGAGGGCGCAAAGGAGACCCAGGUCUGCCAGGACAGCCAGGUACCCGUGGUUUGGAUGG
rnacentral:sRNA from 1 species